UACGUAGGGUGCAAGCGUUAAUCGGAAUUACUGGGCGUAAAGCGUGCGCAGGCGGCUUUGCAAGACAGAUGUGAAAUCCCCCGGGCUUAACCUGGGAACUGCAUUUGUGACUGCAUGGCUAGAGUGCGGCAGAGGGGGAUGGAAUUCCGCGUGUAGCAGUGAAAUGCGUAGAUAUGCGGAGGAACACCGAUGGCGAAGGCAAUCCCCUGGGCCUGCACUGACGCUCAUGCACGAAAGCGUGGGGAGCAAACAGG
rnacentral:rRNA from 1 species